rnacentral:lncRNA from 1 species
UUCGAGCGAGUUUUGAACGCGCGGCUGCGACAACAGCUCAUAUGAACGCUAAACGUUGAAAAGAGCGAACAUCGGCAAAGUUUUCUCGCGGCGCACAUCCUUCAGUAAGGUAAUGUGAAAACGAAUUGAUGGUAAGAAAAUAAAAUACGUAAAGAGCGAGAGAAGCAAAUGAAAAAGGACAAUGAAAACUCACAAGUAAAGAGCGCUUGCAUUUUCCCUGAUUUCCAUGUCCAUUAGUUGCUGCUGGAUCGCCGGAGCAGUUAGUCAUUCUGAAUACGUGUUAUGAGGUUGAACUCAAAUAAUUUACAUCUAAUUUAAUUACCGUAUACUGUUGUCGAAGGCACAUUUAUUUUUCAUAUGUAUAUGUAUGUAUAUAUGUAGACCCCAACACAUG